rnacentral:rRNA from 1 species
AUACGUAGGGCGCGAGCGUUGUCCGGAAUCAUUGGGCGUAAAGCGCGUGUAGGCGGCUGAGUAAGUCUGCUGUGAAAGUCCAGGGCUCAACCCUGGAAUGUCGGCGGAUACUGCUCAGCUGGAGUACGGGAGGGGCGAGUGGAAUUCCUGGUGUAGCGGUGGAAUGCGCAGAUAUCAGGAGGAACACCUAUGGCGAAGGCAGCUCGCUGGAACGUUACUGACGCUGAGACGCGAAAGCGUGGGGAGCAAACAGGAUUAGAUACCCUGGUAGUCCACGCUGUAAACGAUGGAUACUAGGUGUGGGGGGUGUCAACUCCCUCCGUGCCGAAGCUAACGCAUUAAGUAUCCCGCCUGGGGAGUACGGCCGCAAGGCUAAA